rnacentral:rRNA from 1 species
CGGACGGGUGAGUAACACGUGGAUAACCUACCUAUAAGACUGGGAUAACUUCGGGAAACCGGAGCUAAUACCGGAUAAUAUUUUGAACCGCAUGGUUCAAAAGUGAAAGACGGUCUUGCUGUCACUUAUAGAUGGAUCCGCGCUGCAUUAGCUAGUUGGUAAGGUAACGGCUUACCAAGGCAACGAUGCAUAGCCUACCUGAGAGGGUUAUCGGCCACACUGGAACUGAGACACGGUCCAG